UUGUAUCCCCUUUUACUCUCAGACGCUCUCUAAUCCUUCAUCUCCUUGAAACCUUCUGGUCCUCUCAUGGCCUUCAUCGCCAUACCAGCUCACUCCUCCCUCACUAUUCUCGAUUCCCAGCAACCAUGCAUCCCUGUAUCAUGGUUUUCUCUCAAGCUUAAAGCCUAGCAGCUUCCGCCAUGGAAGAAGGUCACUGAAGCUCUAUUUGGGGUAUGUUUCCGGUGUUUUUCCGAUGAUAUUUGAACGAUGACGCCUUCCACGGCAUAUUAUUCGAUUUUCACAGUCAGGUUUUUCCUUUCCAAAAUUUGUUUGAAAACCCUGAUUUUUCUCUUUAAUCUCUACUCGUUAAAUGACUUUUAGUUUGAUUUUCUUGUUUUCUACUCUACAUCUACUUAGUUCUCCGGGUAUUUCAAAUUUUCUCGAUAAUCAUCACUCUUCCAGAUUAGGGUUUUCUAACCCUCUCUUCAAAAUAGUUUCUUCUACUGUUUCUGAGUGCUAUGUAGUCGUUUGUGUUAUUUAUUUUACUUGUUUGUUUCUUUCUUUGAUGACUUGGGUUUCACGUUGUAAUUUCUAUUUCUAGUGUUUCGUAACCCCCUUUCUGAAAUACUUUACUUUUUCUAGCAUUAAUCCCUGGUUUUCAAUACUACAUGUAAGUAUUGUGUUAAUAUUUGAUAGAAACCCCUAACUCUACAUGUUUGUAUCUGUGUUUGCCUACUUGCAUGUGCUUCUAUGAGCUUCGUGCCCUUUACUUUGAUUUUUGGUGCCAAUGUUUCAUUCCCAUACCAUGCUGUUGUUCUUCUUUGAGAAUUUUGGUCGUUUAUAAGGUGACUUUAUACUGACCUUUACCGUCUCUUUAAGGACAUGAUUAUUGGCUUUAAUUUGUGAUUUGUGUGUUUUCCUAAUAGUUUUGUAUGGAUUUUGAAGUCCCUUCCUCAAUCAAUGGGAUACAUUCCCCAAUUAUAUAGCUGAUUCCCCAAGUUUUCAAUUUUGAAAUUAUUUCCCCGAAUUAAAGUGAUAUCUUUCCUUAUAUGUGUGGACAAAUGUGUUGAUUUACUGUCUUGACAUAUUUCCCUAUAUAAGUACCUUGCACCUAGUCUACAAUAUAUACUUUAUACUAUCCUUGGUUUCCUUAUGUGUCCAGGCCAUACUUUGUGAUUCCUUUCCUUUUUUUAUGAUUGUUUAUUACUGUUUGCCUAUGAUUCCUUAAUUAAAUGGGGUUCCCUAUGUUUGUGUGAUUAUUAUUGGUAUCAGUUCCUUAAAUAUGAACUGAUACCUUAUUUGUUUACUCUUUUAGUACUAUAAAUACCCCUCACCUCUCUUUUCUAACAACACACACGGCUCACAACCAAAACUCUCUGAACUCUCUCUUUUCUCUGCUAUUACUAUACUCUCUAAUUCCCUUCUUUGAACACUUUAUUGGCUAACAGCCAAGAUUAAGUAAUUUAUUUGGUUACUUUCCAUUGCUGGGUUCUAUUUGGGUCUGUUGUUACUACUAUUCUCACAUUACUGCUGCCAUUCUCAUAUUGCGCUACUAUCUUCCUGCUGUUGCUACUCCUGUAUUGCUGCCCUCAUCCUUUGCACACUUUGCUCUCCCUUUGUGUACUAUUACAUUGCUAUCAUAUUCUAUUUUUGCAACUGGUAUGUUCCCCAUUUGUGUUACAUUCUCCAAAACAACAUGUUCAUAUUAAUUCUGCAAUUCAUAUUAUUCCUUGUGUGCUUUUAUCUACGGUUUUGUUGCUAUCUUUGUCAUUAACAUGUUAUUUACUUAUCUAUUAGUUCAACUUAGCAUGUCUUUCCCCUAUUCCCCUCUCCAUGUCUCAAUGCAUGUGUACUACUUUUUGGAUACUUAACAAUUCUGAAACCUCUCCAUGAGGUUGACUAUAUUUUGGGGUUUAGUACAGUAAGAGCUAAACUUUUGUUUUAACUAGGUCUGCUUACUUCUGCCCAACAUGUUGUCUGUUCCCUUCACUUAUCUGCACUUUGCUUAUUUGCUCCCUUUACCCCUCCCUGUCUCAAUGAAUGUCUUCUUUGAGAAUUGCUUUCAUGCAUUCAUGUCUGCUUGCCUACUUGUUUAACCUAAAGUCUUUAAAGGAAGCUAGGUAAAAUAAAACUUGAUAAAAAAAAAUAGGAAGUAUAACCAUUUGGCUUGCAAUCAUAUCUAAUGACUUCUUCCAACAUGUUGUCUAUAUGUCUAUAGUUCACUUUACUAUAUGUGUGUCCCCUUUCCCUUCCCCCUGUUUGUGUGAUGCCCUGCUGUCCUAAAAGCUGAGCAUUCUAAGAUAAUUUCCACUCAUUCAAACUGUUUCUUCAAACUGCCUCACCAUUUCAAUAUUGCUAAUUGUUUCUUUUAAAGUGUCUCUCAACUGUUUUCAACUCUCUCAAUUAUUAUCUCACUCUUAGAGCUUUAGGGUCUGCCCUCCUUUGUAUAACCACUGUCUUGGGAGCCUUGAGCACCCAUGAAACUCUGAUGCACAAGGCUGGUGCAUCCAAUGUCUAAAACUGUCUAAUUGGGACAUCUUUGGAUGCCUGGUAUUGGCCAGGGGUUCAAACAAACCCUUAGGGAACUUUGUCGCACCCAAGCCUUGGUAAUGACUGUGAAACUUGAAAGGAGUGAGGUUGGAGAUGCUUGGGCCUGGCUGAAGGCUCUCUAUAGAGUAACUUCUUAUUUUCUUUUAUCACUGUUGUAUUUUUUGUAUAACCACUGUCUUGGGAGCCUUGAGCACCCAUGAAACUCUGAUGCACAAGGCUGGUGCAUCCAAUGUCUAAAACUGUCUAAUUGGGACAUCUUUGGAUGCCUGGUAUUGGCCAGGGGUUCAAACAAACCCUUAGGGAACUUUGUCGCACCCAAGCCUUGGUAAUGGCUGUGAAACUCGAAAGGAAUUAUGUUGGAGAUGUUUUGGCCUGGCUAUAGGCUCUCUAUAGAGUAACUUCUUGUUUUUCUUUUCUCACUGUUAUAUUUUUAAUUACUUGGCUGUAAUAAUUUGUGAGAACCUUGGGGGAUUAUAGUGAAAUUGGAAAGUGCUAUGCAUGAUUGUUAAGGGUUUGCGUAGAAAACAUGACUAUAGGAUUUUACUUAUCUAUUUGUACAAUAUAAAUCAUGUAUAGGAUAUGCAUUCCACAUAUAGAAAUUCUGCUGCUAGGCCCCUUUACUUUCAGCAUGUUGUUUUAUGAUCAUAAUAGUCAGUAAUCCACAAGGUACCAUAUUUAGAUACUAUGCUUUUGGGGUUCUUAUGUGCAUUAGAUAUCCUGCACCUAGGUUUUUGCAACUGUUGCAUAUUUUGUUAAUUUGGAAGAACUGGUUAACAAACUCUUCUUAAAAACUAAGAGACCAGCAUGUUCACCAUCUUUUAUAACACCUAGGCAAGCCUUAGGCCAGAUAAAAACAGACUAAUCGCCUUAAAGUCUUGUUUCAAUAAAUCCACCUCCUUCUGAAUUCGUUUGUCCCUAAGGCUUCUCGUAUUUUUUGUACAAAAAAUUUUACUUAUUUUUAUCACCUGGAAAAUACUUUUACUGAAUUGCUUUUCUCCCCCCAAGCCCAUAACUGAAUUACUAUUUUCCUACAGAAAUAUCUGAAUACUAUACAUUCUGUAUUUUUCCAAACUAUAGUUCUAAGUUAAUCUGUUUUUUUUUUAUUUUUCUUUACACUUCUGCAGUCUUAAAAAUACUAUCUGAAACUGCCUUUACCAUAUGUUCCGCUAGUUUUUUCUUAAUUCCUAAAAAAUUCUACUAUCUAUUAAAAGUUCUGAACGUUUUUUUUUUUCGACUCUUCUAUGAGAAAUUCUCCGGCUUCUUUCUUAAACUUACGCUCCAGCUUUUAAAAAUUCUUCCCUCUUUAGACUUUAACUGUGUUUGAGACGUGCUAAAUACGUGUUUGUACAUAGAGGGAUACUUGAGCCUUUACACGCUUUACGUGAUUCCAUUAUAUGUAGUCCUACUUGUUUUGUAUGUCGCCUAGUAUUUUAACCUUUCAACUUAAGGGUUCAACCGAGUUCCAACCUUAUAGAAAUAACGAUCCUAAAUGCCCUCUAGGAUCUAUAAGACGCGAUGGGUAAUAGCACGCAAUAAGCAUUCGUAACCAAUUCACACGCUUAAAUGACCUCAAAGGGGUGGGAAGGGUAGAAUAUGCAGAUGAUCACAUACCUCAUCGUGAUCAUCUAGGGUAGAAUAUGGAGAUGAUCACGUACCUCAUCAUAGAAUAUGGAGAUGAUCACAUACAAAGCGACCCCUCUUUGGGAAUAUGUACUAGAUAUUGCAUCGAAUGAUCCAUAUUAUAGUUAAACCUAGGACCCUUCUUUCUCUUAUGUGCUUUAUUUAAAUGUUUUCUUAUUGCUUUUCAAAUUAAUCCUCUUUUCUAUUUCAAACUUACAACCUUCCCUUUCUUUAUAGCUUUCAAGUUAUGUGAAUGUCCUAAAUGUGAACCUUAUUUGUGUAACUGCUUCAUCUCUUUAUAAAGUCAAGACUAGCAUGGCCGGGAACCACCUUUGUGGAUAUGGAGGGGUGCCUAACACCUUCCCCUCGAGAUAAUUUCUUUCCCUUACCCAACUCUGGUUUCUCUCUCAAAACACUCCCUUCAUCUUAAUGUGUCCUACUGCACUACAAUCAUUAGGUGGCGACUCUUCCAAUUUCGUGACACAAUUCCCAAACGGGAAAUUGAGUUGUUUUGCCCAUAAUGUCGUAAAACCUGAUUUCUCUCUUGAAAAGGGGGCUUCGACAGCAUGGCGACUUUGCUGGGGAUUUUUUUAGGAUUUUACCACUACGUGUUUUGUGACUUUACCGCUUUCUUUAUUUAUAGCGUCAAUUACUUUUCUUUUGUUAUUUUCACAAUUACUAACUUGUUUAUUCAUGUCUUUUCUUUUCCUUUAACUGUUUUAUCACUUUAUUUCAAUUCCGUCUUUAAUUUUGAGCAUUUAUUUUAAUCAUUAUGAGCGUGAAAAUACAUGUACUUAUUUCAUUGUUGUAAUUUCAUCCUUCAACAUUAUUUUCUACUCGUGCCAAAUAAAUACUAUAGCAAUGCUUAUAUUGAGUGGUUGCGCUCUUCCGAUAUUCACGAACCCCCUAAAUUUCACAAAGGCAUAUUUGCAGUAAAACCAGUCGAUCAACGGUGUAGUCGAUAGUUCCGCACCUUUCUCUCUUGAGUUUUCUGCUUAAGGGUACCUUGUCUAGCACUUCAAAAGUAGAAACCUUACUCCAUUUAAUUGUUCAUGCAUCAUGGUCAAACUUAGCCGAGUCAGUUAUGUUGGCUGCAUAAUGACUCAAUAGGAUAGCCUAAACAUUAGUCCAUCGGGUUUCCUCGAAACCCAAACGGACAUUCACGUUAUGUGCAUUAAUUUGGAGAACCAAAUGCCUUUUGCUUUAUUGAUUUAAAUAGUCGAGUCCGGUGGGGUUAGGGGCCUAACUCUCUAUUUUGCAGAAAAUGAGGCACGAGGUCCCCAGGUUCGGUAUGGUAUCAAACAUUCAUCUAAAGUUGCUAAGCUGGUGGGAUGAUUUGUAUGGUAGUGAUAGGGUUGUUGUCCGCAAACACUUAGGAAAUCUUCCUUCACUUCUGGAAGUUAGGACAGAUAAAAAGACUGUGGAAGCCGCUACCAUGUUUUGGGAUAGUGAACGGUCUAUCUUCCGCUUUGGGGAUAUUAAAAUGACGCUGCUGUUGGAGGAAAUUAGGGGUCUAGCCGGAAUUCCUUGGGAUAGCCCGGAGUUGCUCAUGCCAGAAAAACGCAAAGGUAUAGGGUUCUUGAAAAUGAUGGGGCUAAAAAACAAUCCUAAUUUGACCAGUUUGAAGGACUCCUACAUAACCUUCGACUUCAUGUAUGAAAGUUUCGGGCAUAGUAAAUUGUACCACAAUCACAUGGACAUGUUCACUCUUACCUCUUUGGGGCACAUACAUAGGAGGGCUUUUGUUUUCAUGUUUUGUUUUCUUGGAAUGAUAUUUUUCCCGAUGAAGAACGCUAGGAUCCAUACAAGACUAGCCAUGGUAACCAAAGCCGUAAUGGAGGGUAUCGACGGGCAGACAUUCAGCAUAGCACCCAUGAUCCUCGCAGAACUGUACCGAGCCUUGGAAAAAUGUCAACAAGGGGCACCGCACUUCGAAGGGUGCAAUAUUCUAUAACAACUCUGGCACGUCGAACAACUUCAAAAGGGAGAGUAUAGGCAUGAGAUCAUACGACGGGAUUGGGAUGACCAUAUUGAUUUCCAUCAUCCAAAGCGGAUGCACUUCAUGUCGGAUAUGUUUGCUCAUCCGGAAGACGCCGGUGGAUGGGUCAAACUAUUAAGGAAUCUAAGAGAAGAACAAGUACAAUGGAUGUACGAGUGUCUUCCAACUGGCGAGUUUAUCAUUCGGUCUAGGGAUGCACCAUUCCUGGUACUCAUCGACUUAAGAGGAACUUACACUUAUAUCCCUCGCCGAGUCAUGAGGCAAGCCGGAAGGAAGCAGAUUAUACCAAGAGUGGAAAAGAUGAGUCACUACAGGGCUGAUUUCCAAGAUGACGAUAGCCCACACAGGUUCCAGACUCAAUGUAGGUAGCACUCUAAAAUGAUUCUAGAAAAGGAAUCUAUGGAACAAGAUAGGUAUUAGGCAGGAUAUUCGCCGCUUUAUCCAGGGUGGUUAGAAUAUGAUCAUAUGUGCUUGGGGAAAAUAGGUUUCGUCCAUGGUCACAGGGUUAUUAAUGAGGAAGCUGCAGCAAAGGUCAAGUAUAAUCAGUUACGCAGGCGAAUGUGAGAAUGUGAAAGUGAACACCGGGAAAUGCUAGAGGCUCAAGAGAAGGUAAUCAAGGAAUGGAAAGACAUGGCUGGCCGUACAAGCAACCAUUUGGGGUACUUGGAACAGGGCAUAGUGGAGCUGGAAGGCAAGUUUCUGAAAAGGAUCAAAGGCUGUCAGGAAGCUGAAGGUAAUGAAGGUGGGAAUCUAGCUCAGGCUUAUUUGUUGCUGGGACUACGCAAGCAAAUGAAGCUGUACAAGGGAGGCAAAGAUACUGAAUCUGGGGAAGGUCCUUCUGGGAGGAAGUAGAUAGGAUUUUACUGCUUUCUUGAUGUAAUAAGGCCACUGGCGAUUAGUGACAUUGUCUUUUAUUUAAGUCUUUUUUAACUCGUUCUAUUUUCUAUCAAUAAAUGAGGCAUUUGGUAUUACGAGUUCUCCAAAUCAUAUUUGUCGCUAGGCCUACCUCGGGCANNNNNNNNNNNNNNNNNNNNNNNNNNNNNNNNNNNNNNNNNNNNNNNNNNNNNUAAAUCGUUUCAUAUUUGUCGCUAGGCCUACCUCGGGCACAACAAGCACCCAAAUAGGAAACGAUUUAUAUUUUUGCAACAACGUGUUUACAUACCACAAUGUUUUCUUUCUCAGAAUCUGCACUAACUUUUUAGUUUUUUGUUUUCUUUUCGUUUUUAUCCCCCUCCCCAAAGGUUAGCCCCUGAAUUCUGGCACCAUUAGCA
rnacentral:lncRNA from 1 species